CAGGUUCUAUCUGCCUUGAAUUUUUGAGACAAGGUCUCUUCCUUGCCUGGAACACACCAAGCAAGCGAGGCUGACGACUGCCUAGCAAGCUCCAGGAUCAACUGCCUCUGCUUCUGCAGUGAUAGGAUUACAACUUGAGCCACUGUGCCUGCUUCCUCCCACCCCCACCUUUAAGAUGGAUGGCAGCACCUCUGAGAGCCGAGAAAUCUGACCCAGAGCCAUAGCUGGGCUCAGGACCAGGUGUUCUGGUUUGGUAAUGGCGUCCCCUCCAGAAGACAGCUGAACCUGGGUCUGAAAUGCAUCGGCCAUGUGUCUGUGCUUAGACUCUAUUGUAGUCUUGUAGUCAUUGCUGGAGCGGCGGCGGCAUUUGUGGCUCAAGGGAACUCAAGUUGCUGAUCACGUAAGGCCCCUCAUCAGUUCUGUCGCCAGAACUGGGUUUAUAAUUUAAGUAUGACAGAAGAAAAUUCAUUCUCUGACUGUGUGCCUUGGAUGCAUUCAAAGGCCAGCAUUCAUCAUGAGCCUAUAGCUUGACGAAUAUGAAUAUAGGAAAAGACCUGUUUCCAGUCUUUUGUCCACUUCUCUAUGAUCAUGCCUGUCUUCAAAGAAGAUGCAUCACUGGCUGGGGAUCUGGCUCACUCAGCACCCAUGUUCAACAGCCAGGAGCAGCAGCUCACUUAGGAGAUCCUGUCUCAAAAAAUAGGGUAGAGAGUGAUAGAAGAAAACACUGAAACUUGAUUUCUGGCCUCCAUAUGCACACACACACUACACAUACAACACACACAUACCACACACACUCAACAAGCUCACAGAGUUCAGGUUGGGGAGGGAUUUUUGUCUUGGGUCUGUCAUUGGUACCCUAUCCAUGGUAAACAGACAUCUAUUCAUAUUACCCCAGGAAAAGUCAUGUGAUGACCUAGAAGCUACAACUGAGGCCUUGAUUCAACUGUAAGGGAGGAGAAAUGGUGAGAGGCCAUGCUGAAAAAGCUCCCAGAGGGAGCAAUGCAAGUUCCAAGGGCUUUUGUUCUCCACACCCAGCUUGGCCAAGACAUAGGAGUUAGCCCCUAAGGUCGAAGACAGUGAAUACAGCAGAGGGGCUUCCCAGAACACACUGAUAAGGAACAGAGGGUGGUGGAACCAACUGUGGAUAAAGAUGCCUGCAGCCUGGUCAGGUGCCCUGGCUGUACUAGCACCUCCAGAGUCCUCUGACAUGGCUUGAACAGCGGGGUACAUGUCCUGCUCACUGAGCACACCACCUGGAGCCUCCCUGGGAGAGAUGUGGACUUCACUUCAGUUACUGCCCUCCUGCUCAGAGUUGUGAUCAGUGACUGGCCUUUGUGCCAUCAGAGACAGACUGCCUUUAAGGCCAUUUGUCCUUUCUCUCCCCAGAUGUGACUAACAGGAAGCUAGAGGCCAACUUAUAGGAAAGAAUCACUUCAGGUAGGACCCAGACUCCAGCUGUGCAGCCCAUAGGGUACGGCUGAGACACGAGCACAUUUGCCGAGGUCCAUGAGGAAAAUGGACCCAAGCUGAUGCCGUAGGAAGAUAAGAGUUGCUGUGUUCGGGUCAGGAUGGAAGCAGGAGUUGGAAACACUUCAUCUCAUGUGAGUGGGUUCAAAUCUUUAGUUGCAUUCAGAGCUCCAGGGUCCCACCUUCUAGACCUAACCAGGCUGUCAUCUAUCCAGCCACAACCUCUCAGACCUCUGCUCUCAGCAUUUACCUUCUGGUAUCUUCUACAAACUCAUCUCAAGGACCAGGAUGAAGGAGGGGAUCUGAGAGGCCAUGACAUGUGACUCCAUGAUCCAGGAUACAGUAGUCACUUGCAAGGGUCAUGAUCAGGAAGCUGAGGACACCUGGGGCAGAGGUGGUAUGAUAGUUUGAAUAUGCUUGGCCCAAGGGAGUCUUUAAUAGUGGUCUUUAGAGCCACUAUUAGGAAGUGUGGCCUUGUUGGAAGAGGUGUGUCAUUAUGGGCGUGGGCUUUAAGACCGUCAUCCUAGCUCCCUGGAUGCCAAUCUUCUGUUUCCCUUUGGAACAAGAUGUAGAACUCUCAGCUCCUCCUGCACCAUGCCUGCCUGGACACUGCCAUGUUCCUGCCUUGACAAUAAUGAACUGAACCUCUAAUCCUGUAAGCCAGCCCCAGUUAAACAUGGUGCUUAUAAAAGUUGCCUUGGUCAUGGUGUCUGUUCACAGCAGAAAAACCCUAACUAAGACAAGUGGUAAGACAGACAAGGAUCAAAGAGUAUGAAGUGGGGGUAGACUCCCCAAAGGACCAUGAAGAAUUGCAGGAAGCCAGACCCUGUUGUCAUCUUGAACUUUCAGAAAUCAGAAUGACUUCAGUCAGCCCACAGUCAGGCCAUAGGAACACCAGGAAAGUCUCGGCCAACAAGGCUUGAAGAGUGCCAUUCAAGGGACAUAGGAUAGGAGCAAUUAUGGAUGGCAGGACAAUGAUAUUUGGGUUCGUUCAUAAACUUGAGGACCUUGGGAGGACAAUGUUGUUUGGGUCCAUUCAUAAACUGGCUGUUCUGCCCUCUUCUUCACGGUCAUCUUUGUUCAGCCACCCUGCUCCCUCGGACACAAGACAUGAGAGGCUGACUUCAUUGUAGCAAAGAACAACUCUACCACAGUGUGCCCCUGACCAUGCUAGAAGGCAAACCAACCUGUGGGGUCAUGGUAGCCCUGAAGGGCCAACUUAGAGCCAUGGUGCCAGGCCUAGCAGAGAGAUACCCAAUGUGGCUGGCACACACAGUAUCUGCUGAGGGUUGGUCUGGAGCCUGUGGGCAUGGCUUCUUUGGGAAUCCUGUCUUUACCAGAUUUUCAAAGUGAACAGAAUGGGACUGUGGGUACUACUGUUGUUGGGGUGGGUUUUGUUUGCUUGUUUGUUUUGCUGUUGUUGUUGUUGGGGGCUUGUUUUGUUUUGCAUUUUACAGACAAAACAGUUUUUAAAAUGUUUUAAAACAUCUGCUGAUGGAGCCAUCCUUCGAGGGAGAGGUACACUCAGCAUUUUCAAGCAGCGAUGGAUACUAGACAUGAGCAUUCGAUGCUGAAAGCACCAGCAGCCCUGGUGAAAAUCAAUGGAAAAAUUAGACGCCGUGAAAAUGCAGUACACACUCAAUUAGUUAUAAUUGGAGCAUAGAGUGAUGGAGAUAAGGACAGAGCAGGGAACACUCUCAGACACACAGUCGAUGCCGGCAGUCCCUGGCACAUGGCUCACCUCGCUCUCACCGAUCUCGCCGCAAGUGAAGUGGAGGCUCCCUUCUGCCCUACCAACUUCUACACCCAGAGUGAGGAAGAAAGGAAUGUGAAAAACAGAAAGAUGGGCAGGACUUCCAGGGCUGGGAGAGCUUCAGAAAUCCAGAGUCCCAGCCCAUGGCUCCCGUGCCAACCCCCUAGAACAGCGGACGCCAUCCACCCUGCCCUCCACCAAGCAUCCAGGGGCGCUGCUUUCUUGCAAAAAGCCGUAUGUCAAAGUUCUGCAUCCCGGUUGGACGCGCCCUCCCAACCCUCCCAGCCCUGCUGGCUGCUGGCUCUGCAGUUUUCCAAAUGUAGAUGAUGCUGGGAGAAACUCCAGGCGAGAGAGAGAGAGAGAGAGCGCUGAUGCAGAGUUAAGGAGACAGAGCCCAGCUGCACACCUUGCCCGGCCGAAGCUGCAGGAAGCUCCUGCACCCUCAGCCCUGUCGGUACCAGGGUCUCAUGUAACCCGAGUUACCAGCAAACUUGCCACGUAGCUGGGGAUGACCUCAAACUUCUAACCCUCCUGUCUGGACCUCUGGAGUGCUAGGAUUACAGUCCUGUCUAGAGCUGGAACUUGCUGUGAAAUGGACAGAAGAUUGUUGGUCCCUGCCUUCUCAAGAAUACUCCAGAACCUUCCACCAUGUCUCUUUGUGUGAGAGUCAAUCUUCCUUAUCAGCCUGCUAGGAUUUAGAAUCAUGGUGGAAACACACAUCUGAACACGUCUGCCAGGGUGUUUCUGAGGAGACUUAACUGAGAUAGAAAGACCCACACUAUGGGCCACAGCAUCCUGUGGGCUUGAGUCCAGUGUGCUGAAUAAGAAGGAAAGAGUAAGCUGGAAAGCACUACCCAUCCCCCUCUGCGUCCUGAACUCAGACGCAGCGCACCUCGAGCUUCUGCCACCGUUAACCCUCACUGUGAUGGACGGCAUCCUCAAACUGUAAGCCAACAGAUGCCCUUCCUUAAAUUACUCCUCCCCAGGAAACCGUCCCAGUGAGCAGAGUCAGAGGUCCACAAGGACCCACCCUGAGACUCCUCGUGGCCUGCACACAUGGUAGAAUCAACUUCCAUAUGUUCUUGGGCCCUCACCAGCAAUACCCAGCGUGCACCAUGCUGAGUCCCAAGGGAGCCAGGUAGAAAGGAUGACCCUACAGGCAAUGAGGGACACAAGACCAAGGAUUGCUGGCUACAGGAAAUGGAUCCUAGAAGGAGUCAUUUGUGGAUAUCCCCUUGCAGCAGAUGGUCCCUGUUCUCUUGGCUGGUGCACUUGGCGCCUCCUCAGCUGGUCCCUUUUGACACUGUUUGGACUGAUUUUCAGCAGGCUCCUGGACUUUGGCAUCCCUUCUCCACAAAUACAGCCACCAAGAAGGCCACAGCCAUCCCCAGCCCUGGUGACGCUGGCCUUUGGCAGCAGACAGCUUAGCCCUCCUUCAUGUUCCUGCUGACAUCCGAGGAAAAGUCAUCGAGAUACCACGAAGCAAGCAGCACCUUCUUGCUAAAAGAGGUUUCCUUCUCAUGUCCCAGCGCAAUUCAGGCUGCAAGCCACCAGAGGAAACUUCAUUUUUACCCUACAUUUCCUGCCCAGUUCACUGUGUAAUUGGCCUGUGCUUCCCCCUCGGUGAUUUAGCAGGGAGUGCCGCAUCUUAUAAAAAGAAUAAAUCUGAAUAAAACCCAGGGAGCAAAACGGCUAGGAGACACAUUACCCUCCUGCUUCUCCUUAAAGCGCACUCCCCUCCAGGCCAUGUGAGCCCCAAACCAGAAGCUGGAACCGCUUGCCAGAAGCCUGAGCAGUCCAGCGCUUCACAGCUCCCAGGCCCUGGGGCGUGCAGGCUCAGCCAGCCAGGGACAGGACCUUCCCCAGAACACAAGAAAGAAGCUUACUCCUGGGCUGGUGAGAUGGCUCAGUGGGUAAGAGCACCCUACUGCUCUUCUGAAGGUCCGGAGUUCAAAUCCCAGCAACCACAUGGUGGCUCACAACCAUCCGUUAACGAGAGCGUCUGAAGACAGCUACAGUGUACUUACAUAUAAUGAAUAAAUAAAUCUUU
rnacentral:lncRNA from 1 species